rnacentral:rRNA from 1 species
AGAGUUUGAUCCUGGCUCAGAUUGAACGCUGGCGGCAUGCCUUACACAUGCAAGUCGAACGGCAGCAUGAUCUAGCUUGCUAGAUUGAUGGCGAGUGGCGAACGGGUGAGUAAUACAUCGGAACGUGCCCUGUAGUGGGGGAUAACUAGUCGAAAGAUUAGCUAAUACCGCAUACGACCUGAGGGUGAAAGUGGGGGACCGCAAGGCCUCAUGCUAUAGGAGCGGCCGAUGUCUGAUUAGCUAGUUGGUGAGGUAAAGGCUCACCAAGGCGACGAUCAGUAGCUGGUCUGAGAGGACGAUCAGCCACACUGGGACUGAGACACGGCCCAGACUCCUACGGGAGGCAGCAGUGGGGAAUUUUGGACAAUGGGCGAAAGCCUGAUCCAGCAAUGGCCGCGUGUGUGAAGAAGGCCUUCGGGUUGUAAAGCACUUUUGUCCGGAAAGAAAUGGCUCUGGUUAAUACCUGGGGUCGAUGACGGUACCGGAAGAAUAAGGACCGGCUAACUACGUGCCAGCAGCCGCGGUAAUACGUAGGGUCCAAGCGUUAAUCGGAAUUACUGGGCGUAAAGCGUGCGCAGGCGGUUGUGCAAGACCGAUGUGAAAUCCCCGAGCUUAACUUGGGAAUUGCAUUGGUGACUGCACGGCUAGAGUGUGUCAGAGGGGGGUAGAAUUCCACGUGUAGCAGUGAAAUGCGUAGAGAUGUGGAGGAAUACCGAUGGCGAAGGCAGCCCCCUGGGAUAACACUGACGCUCAUGCACGAAAGC